rnacentral:rRNA from 2 species
CGAUAGCGGAUAGUACCGUGAGGGAAUGGUGAAAAGUACCGCGGGAGCGGAGUGAAAUAGUACCUGAAACCGUGUGCCUACAAGCCGUGGGAGCGUCGGGGUGGAGCUUGCUCCAUCCUCGUGACUGCGUGCCUUUUGAAGAAUGAGCCUGCGAGUUUGCGGUGUGUUGCGAGGUUAACCCGGGUGGGGAAGCCGUAGCGAAAGCGAGUCCGAACA